GGAGGACUCAAUGGAAAAAAACACCUACCUCUCAUGAUGAAGAGCUCAGUAAAAGGGCAAGAGAAGGAAGGGAACAAAUAGAGCCACAGCGACGGCCCGAGGCGGCAUCCAUCACGGUUGAGUGAGGAGAAAAAACACCAUGUGCAGCUCAAUAAAAGAGCAGGACGCUCCUCUAUUCAGAGGCCUUUAGCUACAAAACCACAGCUCAGCACACGCCCCACCAUUUAACCUGCGUGGUGUUGAAGCACGGCGAUCCCAGACCCAGAUCAUAAAAGCGCUUCCUGUUCAGGCAGACACAACCUCAAGGCGCUCAGCGGAGAAUCCAGGUCGAGGUUGAGAUACAGAGCGAUGAUGGAGUGUGCUUUCUUUCAGCUGACUUCACGUCCACGUUGCUGGAAAACAUCCUCACCAUCACACAAAAGGGAUGCCCGAGUGUUUGCAUUGAUUUUCUGAGAUGUUAGUGUUAACAGAGAUGAAGACGGGGGAAUAUUUACAGUCUAAGAAGCAAUAAUAAAGCCUCUUAUGUAAUGUGCAAAGCAGCUGCAAUGUUUGCUUCAUUUGGCAAUCUGGACUCAAUGCUGAUGUAGAAGAAAUGAAACCGCUCCAGGGGGAUGAAGACCAUAAGGUCCCAUUUCUGAGGGGCGGAGUUAGUGAUACACGCCAGCAGAGAAGGAAGAGCUCCCUUUAGUUCAUUAAAGCCAUCUCAUUCAUCAUUCAUUCGGUCCAGGAGCUUCUUCACAUCGUAGGUCAAAGGUUAUCCGCCUUGUUGAAAGGAAAACAAGCAGAUGAACUCUUAACCAAGAUCUGAACUCAAGCUAAACCUCACCUCAAAGUGAACUUGUGGGUCAGGCUCAGUGUGCAGAGGGUAGAAGGAAAAACAAGUCUGACAUGCCUCCACCUUUGACUCAGAUAAGAGGAUGGAGCUGAUGCAGUAGAGGCUUUAAUGUGCAUUCUUACAAACAACCAGGAGGGGGCGACUUCUCUGGUUCUUCUCAGUACCUUUGUUUCCUCGUGUUUUUAUGAUCUCAAUCACUGAGGUCUUACACUGCUUCUU